CCUACGGGAGGCAGCAGUGAGGAAUAUUGGUCAAUGGCCGGAAGCCUGAACCAGCCAUGCCGCGUGAAGGUCAGUGCCCUAUGGGCGUUAAACUUCUUUUGUUCGGGAACAAUAAUGGUCACGUGUGGCCAGGCGAGCGUACCGUACGAAUAAGCAUCGGCUAACUCCGUGCCAGCAGCCGCGGUCAUACUGGGGAUGCAAGCGUUAUCCGGAUUUAUUGGGUUUAAAGGGAGUGUAGAUGGGUUGUUAAGUCAGUUGUGAAAGUUUGCGGCUGAACCGUAAAAUUGCAAUUGAUACUGGCAGCCUUGAGUACAGUUGAGGGAGGCGGAAUUCGUGGUGUAGCGGUGAAAUGCGUAGAUAUCACGAAGAACUCCGAUUGCGAAGGCAGCUUACUAAACUGCCACUGACAUUGAUGCUCGAAAGUGUGGGUAGCAAACAGGAUUAGAUACCCUUGUAGUC
rnacentral:rRNA from 1 species